rnacentral:rRNA from 1 species
CUCGGGGAACUGAAACAUCUAAGUACCCCGAGGAAAAGAAAUCAACCGAGAUUCCCCCAGUAGCGGCGAGCGAACGGGGAGCAGCCCAGAGCCUGAAUCAGUGUGUGUGUUAGUGGAAGCGUCUGGAAAGGCGCGCGAUACAGGGUGACAGCCCCGUACACAAAAAUGCACAU